rnacentral:rRNA from 1 species
GACGAACGCUGGCGGCGUGCCUAAUACAUGCAAGUUGAGCGCUGAAGGUUGGUACUUGUACCAACUGGAUGAGCAGCGAACGGGUGAGUAACGCGUGGGGAAUCUGCCUUUGAGCGGGGGACAACAUUUGGAAACGAAUGCUAAUACCGCAUAAAAACUUUAAACACAAGUUUUAAGUUUGAAAGAUGCAAUUGCAUCACUCAAAGAUGAUCCCGCGUUGUAUUAGCUAGUUGGUGAGGUAAAGGCUCACCAAGGCGAUGAUACAUAGCCGACCUGAGAGGGUGAUCGGCCACAUUGGGACUGGGACACGGCCCAAACUCCUACGGGAGGCAACAGUAGGGAAUCUUCGGCAAUGGACGAAAGUCUGACCGAGCAACGCCGCGUGAGUGAAGAAGGUUUUCGGAUCGUAAAACUCUGUUGGUAGAGAAGAACGUUGGUGAGAGUGGAAAGCUCAUCAAGUGACGGUAACUACCCAGAAAGGGACGGCUAACUACGUG